rnacentral:tRNA from 4 species
CGGGUAUAGCUUGGAGUAAGCGGUGUGGUUUGGGACCACGCAUGGACAGUGUGCGACUCACUGAUACCCGAC